rnacentral:rRNA from 1 species
UACGAAGGGGACUAGCGUUGUUCGGAAUCACUGGGCGUAAAGCGCACGUAGGCGGAUCGUUUAAGUCGGGGGUGAAAUCCUGGAGCUCAACUCCAGAACUGCCUUCGAUACUGGCGAUCUCGAGUCCGGAAGAGGUGAGUGGAACUCCUAGUGUAGAGGUGGAAUUCGUAGAUAUUAGGAAGAACACCAGUGGCGAAAGGCGGCUCACUGGUCCGGUACUGACGCUGAGGUGCGAAAGCGUGGGGGAGCAAACAGG